AUUAGUACAUGAUCAUGCCAAAAACAAGUGAUGGGAAGGAGUUGGGAGGGGCAACUGAAAAGGGACUCACCAGCAUAAACCACAGGCACGUAUGGGUUUGGAAAAGCAAAGAAGAUAGGAGAUCCAUGAGAAGGAGGUGGAACGGUGGAAGUGGAAGUCGAGCGGAAGGUGUCGGUAUCUGCCUCCUCCAAUCCAUGCCCCGCCGCCGCUAGCUGAAAGGACCUUCCCGAGGUCCAAUCUUGCACGACAUCUCAUCCAUGCGCCGCCGCCGCUGAAAGGAGCUUUUCGAGAUCCUUCUUACGCGGCAGUUUUUGCUUCAGUUUCAAAUUGGAAGUGACGCGCGGUACAACUGCGAGAGUAUGGAGAAGGAUGUAGGAGGAGUACAGCCGGCCAUGGACGUCGCCGGCGCAGCUGUCCGCCGCAGCUGCCAUGGAGGAACGCUGCAAGAUGGGAAAUUAAAAACAGUAAAAAGGGGCCUACAGAGGAAGAAUACAUAGAGAGUAGAGGGUGCCAACGCGGAGAUAGACCUGUAGUAGAGAGUCGCCGACGGGAUAGAUGACCACGGCGGCGCAUCACGGAUGAAUGAACGGUGGCUCAUCGUGGACCGAGGAACACUAAACGAAGAGGUCGAGGGAACGGGAUAGCGCUGUGAAUACACUGGACCACCUGCCCCGUGCGAAUGGGAAGUUGGACCUGGGCCUUUGAUGGCCCGAAUACGGAGAGGGAAGGGAGCUCGCUCCGCAGAGCAGCGGCCCGCGAGAUGGUGUAUGGAGCGCCAGGAUGACAUGGGGACGACUGAGGUGAUUCAAGUGAUCAGACGGCUAGCAGGCUGAAAACACUGUGGAGGCUGGGUGUUAGCUACGUUAUACUGUUUCUCAAUAUCGGGACACAGAAGCAUGAAUCUUAAUUGUCUCAAUUAUAUUUUGUGCUUGGAGUCUCAGUAUCAUAAUUGAAGUUCCGAAUCAAGUUAAAUGAAAAAAUAGCUUAUGACUAACAUUAACUCCAUAACUUCUAGAAUUCAUUGUGACUCUAGAAAAAGUUCAGUAAAUAUGGCUUAAACAUAAUAAAUGAAGCGUACAAACAUGCCAAUGAUUUCUUUGAUAUCAAAUAAGGCACAAAUAAUGUUGCCCUAGAACAUAAGUACAUUCCAUCUAGACGUGUGUGUAGACAUGCAUGAUACAUGUCAAAUGCUCCCUCAGUUCAUAGAAUAACUGCUUUGUUUCUUGCUCUGACUCAGCUCAUGCGACCAGUCUUAUCUCAUAAACAAAAAACAGUCUAAACAAAAAAGGAUUUCCAAAAUAGAUCAUACAUAAUUCUAGCAAUUGCCAAUAAAUCGAGGCUUUUUACCAACUUGAUGGUAAGAAAUCGCCGGACCUAGAAAUUCAUUUCGUACAAUUGAACCUUUUCAAAACUUUAUUGUACAAGUCAGACCAGAGCCUGAGCACUCAUAAAACCAGAGCCUUUUUUAGCUCCUUGGCAUCAUAUAUCUUCACAUUGUCAUAAAGUGGUAUGUGUAAACAUAACAUGAAGCAUCAGGAGGAUAUUAUGAUAGUUCACAAGAACAUAAGAUAAAUGAGAUAAGCAGGUUUACCUAUGUCCUAUAGCACAACUUGGCUUCUGGAAAUUUUCUCCCACCAAAACACCGGAAAGCAAGUCACUACUAGAGUAUGGAAUUUGCUUCUUAGAAUCUUCAGAUGUGUGUUCAGAAGCUCAUGCAAAGAAGAGAUCAAUAAGAACCCGAGGAAUAGAAUAGCCUGAGGAAAAGAAGAGCCAUCAAAUGAAUUAUACAAGUAUCUCACUGGAAUUGUUUCUUUUUCUGGCCGCAGAAAACAACUCACUCCUGAAUGUCCUACACGAAAUGAAACUUUUUACAAAUAUAACUUCAAGAAGCUAAGCUGCUAAGAUGUCCUGUAAGAGAAUAAAUGGCAUAACAGGUGUCCCUCAUAGCUCAAACACAUAUGUAAUUCAGAGAUUUUCUUCUUCCUCUGAGACAGCAAGAAAGAAAGAAAUACACUAUGUAUUCUUCAUGGAAUAAAAAAUGUCAAAACUGACUAAGCUCAUUUCAGUUAGUGGGCAUGAAGAAUAUCUUUCGGUAAGAAAUCUGUGUUUACAAAAUCAAUUGUAAAAGAAAGUCAUUAUACAGAAAAAAUAACAUUCCCUUGAUAACUCCCGAACUUCAAAUGUUUAUCAGGCAAUUGAGAUCAGUCAUACAGAAUCAAAUGAACUGAUGGUUAAGGAAAACACAAAAAUGGAAGGCGCAAGAAACAAAUCAAAUGGUUUCAUGAGAAAACCUUAGAUAGAUUGCAACACAUGGAAAAAAUUAGAAGAAUUAAAUUCUAAAAACAAUUCUAGCCAUAGGAUAAUUGGGUAGAUUCAGCGAAAAGGAGAAAAAGAAACCAAGAAACUAAACACAUCCACUGUGAAGUAUUGAAGUCUACAGGAAGAGCCAAGAACAUCUAAAUGGUACUGGAUGGUUGCAUGAGAAUCUGAGCAUGUGUAUCCCUAGUUUUAGAAAGCAAAAGUGUGCUACUCAAUGCUACUCUUGUUCACUGUACAUCAACCUAAACUAAACACUUUGACUUGAAAAGGACUUGAAACAUGUCUACUUCAUUUCCGAAUUAGUUAGUCUUUAGUUUAGAUUAGUGAGGUAUCACAGAAAUAUUGUCUUGUAUCAGCAUAAAUUCCAUUGCACAAUAAUUAAGUGAUGUUGGCUAUGUGCUUGUAUUUCAUCUUAAGACUGAAAGUACAGUUGUGUGUCGCUUCAACAGACAUGCUGAAGAGGAAGAUUGUAGUUACCAGUGCUGCCUUGUAGUACUUAUAGAUGUCCUCCAUGUAGUCGACAACAGCUGGUUCAUUGUGGCCAUCGAGCUUGUCGAUAUCAUCCACGUAGGUGUCUUGCCAAUAACACGCAGCCAGACUUCAAAUUUGUAAUAAUGGUGUCCUCCCAUAUCACUGGUUUACAAGGGGAAAAUACAACAGUCUCGCUUCCAUUUCCUAACAAAAAGAGCUGGCCAGAUAAAUUUCACAAAUAGUAUCCUUAAAAAAAGAUAAAUAAUUUGUAAUUCCACAGGAAAUAAUCCUUGUAGAAUGCAUACAGACCAUAAUUAUCAUUUAUAAUAAUGUGUUCAACAACUUUAGUUCUGCUAUUACUGACACAUGUUUCAAUUAGUGAAUAAGAAACUUAAUGAUGACACCUGUUGUUUGAGGAUGAAAGUGUUAUUUCACUCCAUGGAACAAUUGCUUCAAUUCUUUCAAAAUGGAAGCAUACAACAAAAGGCUUCCGAACACGAGGGGUCAACAUACUCUAAAUCAGUCCGUACAAUUUAAAAUCUACAUUCAGGCCAUAUUGAGUUAGUGUCUACCACCAUGAAAUUGCAGCUAGAAGCCAGCAAGUACGCUACAAUGACUGAGAACUUGAACGAUUGAGGGAUAAUGUAGAAAGAUGCAAAGAACUAACCUCCAAUUGGAAGGGCAUGAAGAUGCCAGCUCCUUCUCUGCUAUAUCUUCCUUAAUAUCUAUUCGAGUGGCCAUGUAUGUUCCAAAGUUGAAGAUAAAAGAAAUUUAAAAAUAUGCAAAUUGGCACACAUGUCCAUUCCACUGAACAUAUGCAACCCAUAUCUGUAAAAAAUAUAAAUUUAGUACAUGUUCAUAAAGAAUAAGUAACAACACAUGAUGGUCUUAAUAUCCAGUGUCUCAUGUUGGAUACAUUUUUAAAUAUGUGCAGUUUCACAUUUGAGCAGAACAAAAUUAAUUGACAGAGCUGUGAUGGCUCUAAAUAGCAAAAUGGCUCACAAAAUCUUACAAAACAAAAACUAUGAGAUUGUCUUGACAGACUACUAUUUAUAGUUCUCCUGUGAUACAAUCCUGGACCACACAAAUGCCUUGUAUCUCUCCUAUUUUAUUACUCGUGCGAUGUUUUCACGGGCCCAUCACUAUACAACUUCAAAUCUAUGUAAAGCAUCACCAUGUGUUUCCAAUAGUAAUCUAUUUAUUAGUUCUGUGAUGUUUUCACGGGCCCAUUCUCUAUACAUCUUCAAAUCUAUGUAAAGCAUCACAUGUGAUUUCAAUAGUAAUCUACUCCCUCCGUCCCACAAUAUAGGACGUUUUUACAAAUUAUGUUAGUUUGCAAAACGUCUUAUAUUAUGGGACAGAGGGAGUAAUUAUUAGUAGUGAUAUGUUUUCACGGGUUGAACCACAUUAAGCCGUCGAAGGUUUGCCCCGUCUUUAGUACAAGGUAAAACAAGUGGCGAAGUUGUUGUCACUUAGGAAUGGAAAUCAUGUGCAAUCAAGUUGGACACAUAUUUCUGAUUUAGAACAACUAUCUAAUGUGUGUUUAUAUGUCUUUUUAUCACCCCGUUGCAACGCACGGGCAUUCAACUAGUUAAACCUAAAAGGUAAAUGCUCUAAAUAGGAUCGUAGGAGAAAAGAAGAAUAAGUAGAUCCAGGAUGCAGUGGUGUGAAUGCACAAUGCAUGUGGGAUAUAGAGCUCUUUGCUUUAUAGAUAAAAACUCUAAUGGUCAAGCCUCGUGAAUCCUGAUUCACCCAAGGUACACAAGUUGUAGGGCUAAUAAUGGGCUCGUCUAAAAGGGACAUUUCACUAUUUUUGUACCCUUUUUUCAUCUAAAUGGGAAAUUACAAUGUUUUAUGCAAAUAAUUUACAGAAGGAUUUAAGAACACACAAGUUAAUUUUAUUCUUGGAGAGGUGCGGACUUCAAUAAAGGCUAAAGACCAGGGAGCUGGCGUUGGGCAUAAUAAGUGUUAUCUCCAAUAGAUUGAAGAUGAUACACAUCAGAAUCCUUACCGGGCCGCGCUUUGCAAUUCGAAAUGAAGACCUCCACCCCAAGGAUCUUGCAAACCCUUAUUCAAGCCCUCCGUGCAACAAGUGGAGCAGUGGAAGCAUGAAGGCCCCUAACGGACGAAGACCUGCAGGCGGUGGUGCGUGGGGGGAUCUGGCGGCGUGGCUUUCGCCCGGAGCCGAUGUGGCGGUGGGAUGCGACCGCUCUCCCCUAAGCUGAGCGCGGCAAUGUCCACGGGAGGCGUUGAAGGCUGCGGUCGGCAGCGCCGCAUGGGUGCAACAAGAACUGCUCAUGUUUGCAGAGAACAAUGACCCAAUAUGCGAUCGUGUCGGUGCCGAGGGAUUAUGAGGGAGGCGGUGGGAGAGGAGGAAGUCGCCUGAAGGGAAGCGGGCGAGCGGGGUGUGGCCGAGGUCCAUUACCACCUUCACCAGCGCAGGGAGAUCCGGGUGAUCCUUUGCCCACCGCCACAGAUCCCCGAGGAGAAGCUCCAGUAGCCUGCACAGCUCCUCCUUGAACCCCUCCGGCCCGACAGACUUGCAUUGCGCGGUGCACACGGGAGCGUGGCCCCGGCGGCCGCAGCGGAGGGAGAGGUGGCGAGUUGUAGGGCUAAUAAUGGGCUCGUCUAAAAGGGACAUUUCACUAUUUUUGUACUCUUUUUUCAUCUAAAUGGGAAAUUACAAUGUUUUAUGUAAAUAAUUUACAGAAGGAUUUAAGAACACACAAGUUAAUUUUAUUCUUGGAGAGGUGCGGACUUCAAUAAAGGCUAAAGACCAGGGAGCUGGCGUUCGUAUGGCGUUAGUUUGCUGGUAUAACCAGCUGGAGUUAAUCAUCAGUUUUACAGUAAAAUUUUGGGCAUAAUAAGUGUUAUCUCCAAUAGAUUGAAGAUGAUACACAUCAAAAUCCUUACCGGACCGCGCUUUGCAAUUCGAAACGAAGACCUCCACCCCAAGGAUCUUGCAAACCCUUAUUCAAGCCCUCCGUGCAACAAAUGGAGCAGUGGAAGCAUGAAGGCCCCUAACGGACGAAGACCUGCAGGCGGUGGUGCGUGGGGGGAUCUGGCGGCGUGGCUUUCGCCCGGAGCCGAUGUCCCGGCGGCGUGGCUUUCGCCCGGAGCCGAUGUGGCGGUGGGAUCCGACCGCUCUCCCCUGAGCUGAGCGCGGCAACGUCCACGGGAGGCGUUGAAGGCUGCGGUCGGCAGCGCCGCGUGGGUGCAACAAGAACUGCUCAUGUUUGCAGAGAACAACGACCCAAUAUGCGAUCGUGUCGGUGCCGAGGGAUUAUGAGGGAGGCGGUGGGAGAGGAGGAAGUCGCCUGAAGGGAAGCGGGCGAGCGGGGUGCGGCCGAGGUCCAUUACCACCUCCACCAACGCAGGGAGAUCCGGGUGAUCCUUCGCCCACCGCCACAGAUCCCCGAGGAGAAGCUCCAGUAGCCUGCACAGCUCCUCCUUGAACCCCUCCAGCGCGACAGACUUGCAUUGCACGGUGCACACGGGAGCGUGGCCCCGGCGGCCGCAGCGGAGGGAGAGGUGGCGAGUGGUGGCUGGGCCACACGUCACGGAGGAGAAGCGGCGAGUGUAGGGAGAGGGCGAAGGCGGGAUGGGUGAGGGAGAAUCGGAGGUGGAGGUGGGGCGGCGGCGGCGGCAAGCGCGUGCCGGUGGAGGGAAAGAGAUCGGGAUGGGGAGGAGCGAACAGUUGUCUGGAGAGUGGAGCCGUGCGUUGGGUUCGUGGGUUCCAACUGGCUCGUAUUUUCUUUGAGCUGUUAUGUAUAUGUGGAUGGAUCGUGGCGUGGGGAAGGGGUUCGAACCAUGACGACGCGUCAUGCAUUUCGAUGGGUGUGAUGUGAUUUUUUACGAGACUCCCACAGCGAGGGAGUGAGGUGGGAUCGUACGAGCGAUUUUCUUGGUGCGGUAUCGAGGUCGAACCAUUAGGAGAGGUCGAACCAUCACGACAUUCGAUCUCCUUUCUCUACUCCUAAGGGAGCAGUUGGUAGUCUCGCUUCCAGUUUUUUUAGUCCCACCUCCCACGGUUUAUUUUGGUACCUCCUCCCACCUCUGACUAAGAUAUCACAAACCGAAAAAACCUCCUCCUGAGGCCCGAACCCGCACCUAUCCACAUGCGACCCUCAAAAGACGUACGAAGGUUAACCUGCGACAAAAAAAACCUACGACGGUUAACCAGCGACGAGUCCUGUUCUCGAGCGAGGCCUCCCUUCGUGGCCGCCCUACAUCCCUGCGCUGCCGCGCUUCAGUCGCUGCCCUCCAUCCUCGCCGCCCUCCAUCCUGGUCGAGGUCGCCGCCCCGCUUCACUCGCCGUCCUCCAUCCGCGUCGAUCCUGGACAAGGUCGCCGCGGCACUCCAUCACUUCGCCGCCGCGCUGAACACCUCGACGAUCCAGCGCGGGUCCUGGAUCAGGUCGCCGCCGCCCUCCAUCACUUCGCCGCCGCGCUGAACUCCUCGCCCUUGAUCCAGGAUCCGGCGCCGAUCCUGGACGAGGAUAAGCGGACACGUCCAGGAUCCGGCCAGAACACGUCCUGGAUCCGAAAAAUAGUUGCAUAUGGGGAAUUCAAAAAGCACGGUUGGCGAACAUCAACCUGAAGAUGACGUAACUACAGGUCUUACACGCGGGAGAAGUGAUGCAGAACACAAUGCGAGCAUCAUACCCGUAGCUGAAAUUGUUGAUAACGUCUACUCGACGGAAUCAGUCCUUACGGGCGGGAUAAAUGUUGGAGACUACAAUGCAAACUUCAUACCCUUACAUGCAGGGCAGGAACCUUCAAACGACGGGAUUUCGUCGUAUUCUGAGAAUAAUAAGGAUGGUACGACUAAGCUACGAGAUGAUACUCAAGAUGACAAAACUUCCGAGCAGCACGCAACAGUAGCUGUAUUUAAUGAAGAAAAAAAAUGUUGGCGAAACAAGGGAGCAGUUCAACGCACAGAGGUGUGAAUCUUAUCGGAAGAAAAAAGAGGAGGAUAUGGUCAGGUUACAAGAGUAUAAUCAGCCAUCCCUUUCAAAGACUGAUCAUAGGGAUCUUAUCAACGCGUGGAGGCGGGCAUCUUAUCGCACUAAGAAGUCAGAUGGUUUUAUAAACCAUCUAGACGAUGGGCCGAUUGUUCACCGCCGUACUCUAUGUGAUAUCACAAAUGUUCAACAACCUUCAUAUGUGAUCCCUGGAACUAAUGUUGGGGCAGCUAAUCAAACCCACGCGAGAUGAUAAGCACAGGAAAGUUGAUCUUCGUCCCCUUUGUAAUCCAAAUGACCCAGCUAGCUCGGUUGAUACAUCAAUCUCGCAUAAUGAAUCAACAUAUCCUCCUAAAGCUACGUGAGCGUCUGAUGUAAUUGCAGAUAAAAAUAUAAAAGAAAAUACGCAAGUAACAGAAGAAGAACGCAAACAAGACCGUAAAAAAGCUUUGAGGAGAGCUGCAUAUCGGCAGAGAAAAGAUCGGAAUCUCCAAGAUGAACAUGCACAGGCCCUUAUUUUAUCUGCCAACCCAACUAGCUCCAACUAUACAUCAUUCUCGUUUGAUGCGACGGCAUUUCAUGCUACAACUACUGUCACAUCUGGUCUCAUUAAUGACAUGGAGGUACAAGAUGUGGUCUUGAAUAACACCCAAGAAACAAAGCAAAAAACCGACGAAGAACUCAAGAGAGAUCGUAGAAACGCCCUGCGGAGAGCUGCUUAUAGGAGGAAAAAGGAUAAGCUUAUCCAUGAUGAAAACAUACGUCCACUUUUGUUAUCAGGCUGCAUUAAUCUAGGACCUGGCGAGGAUUGGUUCAGAGAGCAAGCAUCGUUCUGCAGUAUCUUAAGGACGCUGGUUGGGCUGAGGGUGGUCGACUUAUAGGUUGCACCCAGCCAAGACGAUUGGCUGUGCAGAUAUCCAUGAAGCCAGCCUCAUGACACUUGACGAAACACGUGCGUACGUCAAUGGUGUUGUUCAAGCUAGGAACAAUGGAGGCUAGAAGUAUCUGUGUACACAAGUGCACAAUUUGUCUUAGAUAUAAAAAUGUAUGAACGCUUUGCAUGCAACAUUUUGUUGCCAAUUGUCACAUUAUGAAGUGUUCGCUUAUGUCUUGGAGGUUUAAUAAUAUGUGAUAUUCAAUAAAAAAAUCUAUUUAACAGUGUCGUCAUAUUUCGGAGCCAUAUACUGUGAAGUUCUGAACUAUAUAUUUGACUAAUAUAUAUUUGAUGACCAAACUGUCAAUAAUGGACUUCAAA